GUCUCGGUAGUCUAAAGGCUUAGGACGCUCGCACGGAAUGCAAGAGAUCCGGGUUCGACUCCCGGCCGAAGCA
rfam:Trachymyrmex zeteki contig3913, whole genome shotgun sequence.